ACGUGGCCGAAUUUGUGCCGCAAAAAAUUCUCUCCCGGCACAGUUUUCGUAAAUAUAACUGUUUUAAGCCGGUCUGGCAGCCAACAGCAUCGGUUCCGACGUAGCAAGGGAUCAGUAGCCGACAGCGCCGGUUCCGGUUGUGCGAGGGCGCAGGUAGACGGGUGUCUCGCAGGCCUGCCUGUUACGUUCGAGUUUUAUAACAAUAUUUUCAUUGAUAUCCCGAAUAGCAAAGACCAUGGUAUUAAAAUAACCGAACAAUGAAUUUCAAUUUAACACUUAAUUUCAUCGUAUUAUCUAAAUAUUUUUCGACUGCGUUUAAUUUUGAAACCACCAUUAUUUUUAAAGUCACCGUGAAAAACAUUGUUAAUUCAAAAUAUUUCAUAGUUUACGAAAAUGACAGAAGGACAGUAUCACCAUAAUUUUCUUGUGAUAAUGAUUGUUACAAUGUACUUCAUGGUAAAAUGUAAAUCCAAACCAAAAAGAACAUGGUAAAUUUUUUGCUUUUUUUACACACUUUCAAAUCAUCGUGUAGAGAUUCGUGUUUGUGCGCGCCAUUUUUGCAAACAAUUUUUGCGGUCAACUUUCAUGAUUUCGGACAGAAUAUUUUAGAUGAUGCUGAUCCACGGCUUUAACAAAAUGCCCGGGAGGACGAUUGGCGGAGCCAGCAGAGGAAAACGAGCCGCCAAAAAUUUGCUGUAUCCGCCCAUCUACGUGAAGGAAGGACAAUCUCGCGAAGGAUCCGGUUCUACUGGGUUUGCUGUCGCAUAUGCAGGCUGCAUGAAAAGUGGCUUCCGGUCCACCAAGGAAAAGAACACGCAGUACUUGCGGCAGGUUGGAGCUGUGCUGAUAACACAUAGAACGGGUUCCGAUCGUGGUGCAGGUAUUAAUCAAAGUGUAAAAAAAUAGCGGAAAAUUGUGAAAUUUUUUAGAAAAAGUUUUUAAAAUUAUAGUGAUUUCCUUACAACUUCAAUACAUAUGCAAAUAAGUAUGUUGUAUAUUAUUUUGAAUUUUGUUUUAUUUUUUUAACAAGGGAUUUUGCAAUAAUUCAAUCUUAAUUAAUCAGUUUGCUUAAGUUAUUACUCUUUUUAAGGAAUAUUGUUCAUGAUUGAUCGUGCUUUGUAAUAAAUG